AACGAACGCUGGCGGCAGGCUUAACACAUGCAAGUCGAGCGCCCCGCAAGGGGGGCGGCAGACGGGUGAGUACCGCGUGGGAACGUACCUUUUGGUUCGGAACAACUCCGGGAAACUGGAGCUAAUACCGGAUAAGCCCUAACGGGGAAAGAUUUAUCGCCGAAAGAUCGGCCCGCGUCUGAUUAGCUAGUUGGUGAGGUAACGGCGCACCAAGGCGACGAUCAGUAGCUGGUCUGAGAGGAUGAUCAGCCACACUGGGACUGAGACACGGCCCAGACUCCUACGGGAGGCAGCAGUGGGGAAUAUUGGACAAUGGGCGCAAGCCUGAUCCAGCCAUGCCGCGUGAGUGAUGAAGGCCUUAGGGUUGUAAAGCUCUUUUGUCCGGGAAGAUAAUGACUGUACCGGAAGAAUAAGCCCCGGCUAACUUCGUG
rnacentral:rRNA from 1 species